UUUCCAGAGGGGUGAAAAAGUUUCUGUACCCCCACUUCACCUUUAGGAUGGUUUCUAGUCACAAUGCACACGGGAAAACCCCUGCCAACUGACAACACACAGCAGCCUCCAGUAACCCAGGUCAGGCUUGAAGACGCUGAAGAAAAUGCCUGUAAGUAAUGAACUGCUUGUCUUUUAAUGCCUGUUGAGACUUCACUGUUACAGAGUUAGAUGACCAGCUCAGAUGUACACAUCUCUGCUGCUGACACACACAUGAGAAGCCCAUCUAUUAAGACAUCUAUAUACCCGG